rnacentral:rRNA from 1 species
AACGAACGCUGGCGGCAUGCCUAACACAUGCAAGUCGAACGAGACCUUCGGGUCUAGUGGCGCACGGGUGCGUAACGCGUGGGAACCUGCCUUUAGGUUCGGAAUAACUCAGAGAAAUUUGAGCUAAUACCGGAUAAUGUCUUCGGACCAAAGAUUUAUCGCCUUUAGAUGGGCCCGCGUUGGAUUAGCUAGUUGGUGGGGUAAAGGCCUACCAAGGCGACGAUCCAUAGCUGGUCUGAGAGGACGACCAGCCACACUGGAACUGAGACACGGUCCAGACUCCUACGGGAGGCAGCAGUGGGGAAUUUUGGACAAUGGGCGAAAGUCUGAUCCAGCCAUGCCGCGUGUGUGAAGAAGGUCUUCGGAUUGUAAAGCACUUUAAGUUGGGAGGAAGGGCAGUAAGUUAAUACCUUGCUGUUUUGACGUUACCAACAGAAUAAGCACCGGCUAACUUCGUGCCAGCAGCCGCGGUAAAGUGACUACUG